GAUGAAGAACGUAGUGAAAUGCGAUACGUAAUGUGAAUUGCAGAAUUCAGUGAAUCAUCGAAUCUUUGAACGCGUAUUGCGCUCUUUGGUAUUCCGAAGAGCAUGCUUGUUUGAGUAUCAGUAAACACCUCAACCUCUUCUUGAUAUUUCAAAAGGAGGGUGGACUUGAGCUAUCCCAACAACCUUUACCGGUCGGCGGGCGGCUUGAAAUGCAGGUGCAGCUGGACUUUUAUCUGAGCUAAAAGCAUAUCUAUUUAGUCCUCGUCAAACAGGAUUAUUACUUUUGCUGCAGCUAACAUAAAGGAUAAUUGUCCUCUUUGCUGACUGAUGCAGGAUUUUACGACACUUUAUGUGUUGUUCAACUCGAUCUCAAAUCAAGUAAGACUACCCGCUGAACUUAAGCAUAUCAAUAAGCGGAGGA
rnacentral:misc_RNA from 1 species